rnacentral:tRNA from 1 species
GCCCCCAUCGUCUAGCGGCCCAGGACCCCGCCCUUUCACGGCGGUAGCGCCGGUUCGAAUCCGGUUGGGGGUACGA